rnacentral:rRNA from 1 species
UGGGUGAUCUGCCCUGCACUUUGGGAUAAGCCUGGGAAACUGGGUCUAAUACCGAAUACACCUUGCUGGCCGCAUGGUCUGGUGGGGGAAAGCUUUUGCGGUGUGGGAUGGGCCCGCGGCCUAUCAGCUUGUUGGUGGGGUGAUGGCCUACCAAGGCGACGACGGGUAGCCGGCCUGAGAGGGUGUCCGGCCACACUGGGACUGAGAUACGGCCCAGACUCCUACGGGAGGCA